AUAUACCGUAUAAAUCGUUAAAUAAGCCGCAGGUUUUUUUCUCUGUCUUUGUCCCUGCGUGUUAUACUCGGGUGCGUGUUAUGUAAGUAUUAUUUUCUGUUUUCAGGACGACGGUGAAAGAAAAAAAUAUCUGGAUUUGUUUUCUGGAGACAGUCAGAUUGUCAAGUGCUUGCAGUGACUUGAUAAAUUGUUAAUGUUGCAUAUUUUGUUAUGAAUAAAUAAAUAUAUUAACUAAAUCGUUUGUUUUUAUUUCAUUCAAUCAUUGUUGGUUUACAGGAAGUCGAUAACCAUGUGUUUAGUGUUCAUUUCGUAAACAAAGAAAGAUAACUGUGUCCAUACAGGAUAUUAAUUGUGUAUUUAUCAUAAAUAUGUAGUUGUUAGUUGAUUUAAUGUGUUUUAAUAUAAAAUUUUCUAAUGAAAUAAUAAAGAAAGUGAUUGUGUGUCUUGCCAAUAUUACAAGUUUCUUUAAAUGACGAUGGUGAUGCAUGUGCUUAAAUCGACACUUUAAAGUGCUUCAUAAACAAAGAGAGAUAAUCGUGUUUGAGAAGAGGUACCAAACAGGAUAAAAUACUGAAGAGUAACUGUUUGUCGUUUUAUUGUGUUUCAAAACGAAAUAUCUUUACGAAAU
rnacentral:lncRNA from 1 species